CCAAUAGCGUAUAUUAAAGUUGUUGUGGUUAAAAAGCUCGUAGUUGAACCUUGGGCCUGGCUGGCCGGUCCGCCUCACCGCGUGUACUGGUCCGGCCGGGCCUUUCCCUCUGUGGAACCUCAUGCCCUUCACUGGGUGUGACGGGGAAGCAGGACUUUUACUGUGAAAAAAUUAGAGUGCUCCAAGCAGGCCUAUGCUCGAAUACAUUAGCAUGGAAUAAUGAAAUAGGACGUGCGGUUCUAUUUUGUUGGUUUCUAGGACCGCCGUAAUGAUUAAUAGGGACAGUCGGGGGCAUCAGUAUUCAAUUGGCAGAGGUGAAAUUCUUGGAUUUAUUAAAGACUAACUUCUGCGAAAGCAUUUGCCAAGGAUGUUUUCAUUAAUCAAGAACGAAAGUUAGGGGAUCGAAGACGAUCAGAUACCGUCGUAGUCUUAACCAUAAACUAUGCCGACUAGGGAUCGGAUGAUGUUAAUUUUUUAAUGACUCAUUCGGCGCCUUACG
rnacentral:misc_RNA from 1 species